ACGCUCGACACCUACGGGAGCAGCAGUGGGGAAUAUUGCACAAUGGGGGAAACCUUGAUGCAGCGACGCCGCGUGAGUGAAGAAGUAUUUCGGUAUGUAAAGCUCUAUCAGCAGGGAAGAGAAUGACGGUACCUGACUAAGAAGCCCCGGCUAACUACGUGCCAGCAGCUGCGGUAAUCUGAGGCGGGCUGGCAAGGC
rnacentral:rRNA from 1 species